rnacentral:rRNA from 1 species
CGUGUAGGUGGUUAGAUAAGUCAGAUGUGAAAGCUUCCGGCUUAACCGGAAAACUGCAUUUGAAACUGUUUAGCUUGAGUGCGAGAGAGGGUAGCGGAAUUCCCAGUGUAGCGGUGAAAUGCGUAGAUAUUGGGAAGAACACCAGUAGCGAAGGCGGCUACCUGGCUCGCAACUGACGCUAAUGCGCGGAAGCGUGGGGAGCAAACA